rnacentral:misc_RNA from 1 species
UCCGGCUUAUCACCGGCAGUCCCUUUAGAGUGCCCAACUUAAUGGUGGCAACUAAAGGCGAGGGUUGCGCUCGUUGCGGGACUUAACCCAACAUCUCACGACACGAGCUGACGACAACCAUGCACCACCUGUAUAGGACGCCGAAGCACACCACAUCUCUGUGGUUUUUCCCUAUAUUUCAAGCCCUGGUAAGGUUCUUCGCGUUGCGUCGAAUUAAGCCACAUGCUCCGCCGCUUGUGCGGGCCCUCGUCAAUUUCUUUGAGUUUUAACCUUGCGGCCGUACUCCCCAGGCGGGGCACUUAAUGCGUUAGCUCCGACACCGAAUGCGUCUAUACACCCGGCAUCUAGUGCCCAUCGUUUACGGCGUGGACUAC